GGAGAGGUGGCCGAGUGGUUUAAGGCAACGGUCUUGAAAACCGUCAUACCGCAAGGUAUCGUGAGUUCGAAUCUCACCCUCUCCG
rnacentral:tRNA from 1 species